AUCCAGCUGACGAGUCUCAAAUAGGACGAAACGUGCGUCCUACCU
rfam:Schistosoma margrebowiei strain Zambia genome assembly, scaffold: SMRZ_contig0005602